CCUACGGGAGGCAGCAGUGGGGAAUAUUGCACAAUGGGCGCAAGCCUGAUGCAGCAACGCCGCGUGAGGGACGACGGCCUUCGGGUUGUAAACCUCUUUUAGUAGGGAAGAAGCGAAAGUGACGGUACCUGCAGAAAAAGCACCGGCUAACUACGUGCCAGCAGCCGCGGUAAUACGUAGGGUGCAAGCGUUAUCCGGAAUUAUUGGGCGUAAAGAGCUCGUAGGCGGUUUGUCGCGUCUGCUGUGAAAACUGGAGGCUCAACCUCCAGCCUGCAGUGGGUACGGGCAGACUAGAGUGCGGUAGGGGAGAUUGGAAUUCCUGGUGUAGCGGUGGAAUGCGCAGAUAUCAGGAGGAACACCGACGGCGAAGGCAGAUCUCUGGGCCGUAACUGACGCUGAGGAGCGAAAGCAUGGGGAGCGAACAGGAUUAGAUACCCUGGUAGUCCAUGCCGUAAACGUUGGGAACUAGAUGUAGGGACCAUUCCACGGUUUCUGUGUCGCAGCUAACGCAUUAAGUUCCCGCCUGGGGAUACGGCCGCAAGGCAAAACUCAAAUGAAUUGACGG
rnacentral:rRNA from 1 species